GGGACUCCAAAUCCUUCAUUCACAGCCCUUGGUUGUUUGGCAUAUUCAGCUCUGAGGCCCAGCCUAUUAGCCGGCCAGGGAGGUCCUACCAGGGAGGGCCCCAGGGGCGGCCGCUGACUUGGGCCCUGAGUGUGGAGUGAAGAGAAGAGGCUGGACCUUGGAGGCUGACAGCCACGCACUCCCUUCCCCUCACAGCCGGGGCCGUAGCCGGGAGUCACCUCUCCUCAGCCACCCCAGAGACCAGAGCAAGGAUUGGUGGAAAGACCGCCAAGAAGAGUGUCCAGGAGCCUGGGAACUGAGACAGACCAGCCCUGCCCUGCCCUGCUCUGGAGAGCCCUCGACCAAUGGGGAAAGGCCCUCUUGGGGUUUUACCUGCUUCCCAGCCCACGGAGAUAUGAGGGCCAGGUCCUCUCAGGUCCCGCACGAGGGCCCUCCUAUUCUUCAGUGGCCAUCAUGAGCUCUGAAUAGAACAGGCCCAUCAGCCACAUUCCAGCAGGAAGGCUCCACCACCCUGCAGAAGGGAUAGCCCCUGAGACCUCUCCCCAUUGAGUGUCCUUGGGGAGAAGAAGGCAAUGUGGUCUGAAGCUCUUUCUGGUCUGUUUCCUCCCACCCUCCAAUCUCUAUCCUUGCACCCUCCCUACACAAGGCCUCAGUGUUUCACUGAUAGGUUUGGCUUUUUCCUGCCUCAGGGCCUUUGCACAUGCUGUUCCAGCUGCCUGUCCUGAAUGUUCACAUGACUGAUUCUCCUCUUUACCUGUUCAUAACCCCCCCCCCCAAAUUAGCCCUCCCAGUUACUUCAUGGUUUAUUUCCUACGUGACAGCAUCUCCAUCACACAUUCUCUGGUUAAUUUAUUUGGCGACUUUAAUAUUCUACAGCUCGCAAGCUCCAUAGGGUGGAGUCCAGUUGUCCUGUUUGUGGCUGGAUCCCCAGUGCCGGGCACACAGUAGGUCCUUGUUGAACGUUGCAUGAAUGCAUGGGCAAGGGCAUCGAUGAGUGCAUGGCAGGGGGUGGGGGCUGGGUCUGAAGGAGGCUGAAUGGGGCCUUGGGAAUCCAGUUGCCGAGCUGGGCCUGGGUGGGGACAGAGGUGGGCAGGUUCCAGUGGGACUCUACCCUCCUCCUUCCCCAGGCAGGCAGGCCCAGGGUGCAGGUCAAAGGGCUCCCCUGGAGGUGCCAGCAGAAAGCAGCAAGGCCAGGCGGGGGCCGGGUGGCCAGGAGCUGUUUCCCACCCCCUCAGCUGUGUCCUUAGCCAGGGUCUGUGUGGGCGGGAGGUAGGACGGGCCGCCUCCGUGGAAAAUGUCUCCUUCCGGAUGGGGCACCGCCUCCCCACCGGCUCAGUGCUGCUGGUGGAUGCUCAGACAGACCAGGGAGUGCCCCUGCCGGUGGGAGUGGGCACACCUGGGAAGACAAGGGGCUCAGGCCACUCACCAGGAGCCUUCUUCUGUCCCAUGGGCUCCUGGUGACACCUAGUGGCCAGUAUUCCUGAUGCACUGUGUCCCCAAUCCCAAAACUCCUUCCCUGGGCCUGUCCCAAAUAGCAAGGGCACCGCUGGCGUUGGUCUCCACCUACUCACAUUCUCACGGACCCGUCCCCCCAGCGGGCUCUCUGGGGCUCCCGCCCACACAGUCACUCUCACACCCUCUCUCAAGGCUCAUCCCUCCCACACAUGGUGACAAUGCUACGAGGGGCCCAAGGGGGUGUCCUUGAGACCCUCUGGGCAGAGGGCCUUCUCCAGUGCCCGCCAAGACCAGCUCCUGCCAGCCAGCCCCACCCCAUCCCCAGGUGCGUCAUGACCAGCUGGUCCACCCUGGGGAGGGAGGCGUGGAGGGCAGGGCUCAAUGACACUUUGGAUUCUCUGCCCAUCUCCUCCCACUGGGCUUCACAAACCUGGACCAGAAGCACAAGACCAAGGUCGAGGACCAGCAAGGACCCAGGAGGUUGGCACCCAGGAGGUUGGCACCCUAGCUAGAAGCCUAGGAAGAGCCAGCUCACAGGCAAGACCCACAUGAAUGAGGUGGGGAGGGGGGCAGGGGGAGACUCUUGAGGACAGUGGGCAGGGGAAAGGGGUGUGGGAGCCAGGCCAGGCCCAGGAAUGGGUACAUCCACAUCAGCCAAAAGCAACCUCAGCUGAGCCAGGGCCAAGCUGCCUGCGUCACCAAGAGGAGCCUGAGGAACUGGGGGAAAGGCCUGGUAGGCGGCCCAACCAACUGAGGCAUGGGGCACUCAUGACCCAGAGCACAGGGCAUUGCCUGGGGCCUGGGACCCCAGAGCCCCCUGGGCCUGAAAAGACCAACUUCAGGUAUGCCCUCCGCCUUCUCCAACAGCAACCAGGACAGGAGGACAAGCGUCACUUUCCCCAUUUCGCAGCUGGGGGCACUGAGACCUGGCAAACGCUAACAGAGACAGGAGCUCACUUCCCAGUCUUCUGGGGAUCAGGGUCUCUCCCUCCCUCCUCCCAGGACCCAGACGUCCCUCACCACUGUGCACGCAACCCUGACAGCUUGGACGGGGCCUUGUCCACCUGUGCACCCCUCCCUGAUCCGCCCCCCCGCCCCAACCUGGCCUCCAGUCCCUGCACGGCACUGAGGAAGCGUGCCAACAGCCAGGACACCCACAGGACAGGAUGGAGUCGCCACCCAGGGCUGAGGAGUGGUGCAAACCUGGGUCAGGGGCAUGCAGAGUUGUGGGGGGGAGAGACAAAUGAGGCAAAGUCCAGCCCAGGUCCCUGUGACCACUGCCCAUGCCCAUGCUCUGUGCCCCAAGAAUACCUCCGGAGCUGGGAGUUCAGGCUCCACAAAGGGUAGGUGCCAGAGGCUGGCCUGGAGGCCAGCCUCUUAAAGGCUCCUCCCUGGUAGGAAUCAGGGUGCCCCUCUGCCUCCCUAGUGCUUUCCCUCAGCCCCAGCUCCACUUGGAUUGGAGCAGGUCUUUCCCUGGCACUUUUGGCCGGAGAAAUUCCAAUGUCCACCUACUGCCCCUCCCCCCAUUUCUACAGGAGAAGGGGCAGAAGCUCUGGGCAGGGGGACGAGAUUCCAGGUCGCUCCCAAGCUGCUCUGCUCCAAUGGUGUAGCCCAGGAGAGGUUACCCCUUAGCAUGACCCCCUUCAGAUUUGUGGUGGUGGUGGGGUACAGGAGUCCUCCGUGAAUGAAAAUAGAAUUGAACUGAACCACAGAUUCAGUCGUGCCACCUUUUUGGAGCCGGACUCUGAUGAAGGUGGUGGAGAGGGGGCGGGGGACGGAGGAGAAACGUGGCCUGGCCGGAUACUCCCAUGGGCACUGGGACACCUGGAAGGAAAUGCUGGCCCAGCCCGUGCAGGGGAGGGGACAGCUCAGGAAGGGCUUCCCAGGAAGGACACCUCCUUCUGGAAGAGAAAGCUCCUCCAGACUUGAAUGGAGCUCCAGGGUAACCCAGAGGGAAAGAGUGAGGAAAAGACGAGAAGGGGGAGGCUGGAAUUAGGGAGCAGCAGCAGGGGUGAGGCGGGCGGAGCCUGGAGACAAUGGGGGCUGUGGUGGGGAUGGGCCAGAUGGCCCUGCAGGGGCCAGAGAGGGGGCGGUGACAGGGCCCCAGGGAGAAUUCAGAACAGUAGGUAUUAAGAGUGUGCCAGGAAGGGGCUUCUGGGCAUGGCUGCCCGCCCUGCCUUGGAUUCGAGAACCAGGUAGGUGAGAAGCUCUCAGCAGUGGCUUGCUGCUCCCAUAGGCAUUUCAGAAACGGAGGGGAAAUCGCUGGGUGCUGCGGUAAUGGGGUGCUGUAGGCAUCGGUGGUGGGGACCUGGGAUGUGAGCAGUGUUCUGCCCCGUGGCAAGAUGACCCGCAUCCCACACAACGUGCAAAUAUUCCACUGGACACUCACAUGAGUCAGGGGUUCCUAACGGGGGGUGAUUUUGCCACUUGGGGGAACUUUGGCAACGUGUGGGGACGUUUCUGAUGGUCACAACCUGGGUGGGGUUGCUACCAGCAUGUAGCAGGUGGAGGCCAGGGACGCUGCCCAACAUCUUACGGUGCAGCAGCCUGUCCCUAGCGUCGUGGCUGAGGAAUCCUGCUGUAGGUGAAAACUCUGUUAGUAUUGAUCAGAGUCUGGAAGCUACUUCCACUUUCCAACACAGAAGUUCUUAGGGAUGCAACACGCAUGAAAACCUAGCAGAGAUGGAAUCUUGUUUCAUUUGGAAAUUUACCAAGCGUUGCUCCCCGGUUUGUAAAAUCACAUCCCUAAGACGCAGUGGCCUCCGCGGGCAUCCGAGCCUGGGAGGCUGUGCCAAUCCCUGUCUGUGUCUGCAGCAGCUCUGGCUGCGAAGCUCCUGCAUCACCAGCAGCGUCUGAGUCCUCUGGAGAUCAUACCCAAGCAUUUUUCAUAAUCGAAUACACAUUAUGAAGUUAUUCAUUACUUUCCUUUUAUUUCUCCCUGGUUUCGAAGUUAGAACACGGUAUCGAUUUUUUAACUUAUGAAGGUAAGUUAUAUCGGCUGUGAAUUUUAUUUUCGCAAGAAGACAUUAUAAGAUUGGGGCCACGGAUCUGAUUGGAUUGACCAGAUUUAGGUGCUCAUGGGAGGCGGGGCAUAGGGAGGAGUUGAGGUGAGACCCCCCAGGUUCUUGCCUCAGCGGAAGAGGGAGGGUGUCCUCUGGAUAAGGGAAGGGAAGGAGGCCCAGGUGUGAAGGAAGAUCCACUUGGAAGCUGCCCAUGGGACCCUCAGCCCUGCCACAUCUCCCCCAGACAACAGCCCGUUCCUUUCCCACAGCCUGGCCAGGCUUAGCUAGGCUAACUGUGCCUCCACCCAAGGGCAGGCUGGAGCCAACUGAGGCCCUGAGAGUCCUCACUUUAUGCUCCUCUCUUCUGUAAGAUGAACCCCAAGAAAACACAGCAUCUUCAUCUUCGGAAAGAGUUCCAACAGAUGUAAGGGCCCUUGGCAAUGGUGCUGGGUAGACUGGAGGCUCCCAGCACCCCCCCGUCCCCCCAUCCCACCCCCCCCCCCCGUGACUCACAUCAGGUGUCAGCUCGGGAGCAGCAGGGCAGCAGAGACAGAUCUCAGCCCAGCCCACCCAGAGUGGCUGGUGCCUUGUGCCCAGAGGCGGUCUCAGGAGGGCGCCCAGGGGCUGAGGGUGGGCGGACCCCUCUGACAUUGAGAUUGCUUCUCUUCAGACCCUUUGGGGGGCACCCGGGACCCUGCAGGCCCUAUCAGACAGGAUCCCUGGAGAAGUGGGACCCCAUUUCUCCAGAGCAGCUCACAUCCACAACCCCAGGCAGUCAGAUCCCCCUGUUCUCCCCACCGGCCCUGGCAUCAGUCAGCGCAGGGGGCAUCCCCACAGGAGGGGGAUCUAGGUGUGUGUGUCCGGUGGGGGGGGGGGGCAGCCAAAGAGCCAUCCUGUCCAGGGCGUCACAUUCAGAUCUGUAUGGUCCCCCAGUGAUGUUCCACACGUGGCCCCCAAGCCACCCACAGGACGAAAGAUAGUCCACACCCAUGGAAUGACCUCCUGCCAUGUCCCAGGAGCUGAUGCAUUCUCAAAUGCAAGCAGUCCCAGGCGAUGUGCAGUCACACUUUUACAUCAAAAGUAUGAGUUUGUUCGAAGGGCACGCCUAGAUUGCCCCAAUUUUUUGCAACUGGUAUUGACAUUUCUUGGUGUUUUGAGACACCGGGGCCUCGAGGGGCCUUCCUGGGCACCCGCUCCACUCCAGUGGCACCCACUCCACCGCCCGCGCCUUUCCCAGGCGCACUGCCUCCCUGCCUACUGGGCAGGUGGGGCGCCUGGGCCCGCGGGGCCUGCAGAGCCCCUGCCCACCGGGCCAUGGUCGGCCUGUCAGGGCGGCUCCACUGAGCUGUGAGAAAGGCUGGGGCCCAUCAGAUAAGGCUCUGGGCCCUCCCCACGACACCGCCACCACAGGCGGCUCUCCUGCCUUGCAGUCCCUCCCCAGGCCCGCCCCAGGCAGGUGUGCUGCGCGGAAUGAAUUUCACUACAAGAUCUCUCUGGUUUCACUAUGAGUUUCCUGACCCAGGCCAGCACCCACAGGCCCGGGGGCCUCCCCUGUCUCUCUCAGGCCAGGAGGCAAGCUUCUCCACUCAGGCAGCAGCAGGAGGGAGCCUGGGCAGCCCUUGGGAAGGACUCUCUACCUCCCAGAUGACUCCAGUAGUCCCAGGAGGUUGGUCCUGGUCUGAGAAAGCCUGUUCUGCCCUCUCCAACCCCGUAGGACGCAGUCCAGCAGAGGCGUAGAUCGCUUGACAUCAGAAAGAGGCAGGCCACCGGGGUUCAAACCAGGGAUAGGGAAGCUGCCCUCUGGUGGCAUCUUUUGGAAUAGCAGGUGUCCUUGAGUGAAGGCCAGGGCCAGAGGGAUGCCCAGCAUCCUGGCUGGCCAGCAAGAUAGGUCUGGGACCGUCAGGAGGGAGAGGAGAGCCCAGUUCCAGAGCAGAGGCCCAAACCCCAACUUUUCAUGUUUCCAAACGUUCCUGGUUCCCACAGAGCCCCCACCACCACCAACAGGAGGUACACAAGGCCAUGCUUGUAAAGGGGCCAGGGAAGGACACAGGGUAACUCAGGAAGGCACAAAAGUCCCAGACUCCCCCAAAAGUCACCCCUCGCCUCCAUUUCUCUCUUCUGACCAGUGGGCCCAGGAACCCCAGGGUCGGGACAAGCCGCCCCCCAAGACAGCUGUGGGCACUGAGGGCUCAUGAGCCACUCCCCUCCCUCAACCUCACGGAUGUUAAAUGACUCAUGACUCAUUAAAUGGUCUCCCUGCCAGAUAUCACUGGGAAGGGUUGGCCCUCACCCACCCCCCCCCCACCCUCCCACCCCCCACCGUGGUUGCACUGAGCCGGGACAGUUGAGGAUGGGGAAGGGGAUUAGAUUUGCACUCUAGAGCAAUCCUGGGGUAGCAAAGAAGCUGUCGUCAGCCCUAAGGAAAGGGUGGGUGGUGGAAAGCAUCAGGUGCUUGGGGUGGUGAAGACAUUCCCCCCCCCCCCCUUGUGGGGGCAGUCUGAGCUCUGGGAGUGGAGACAGGAGGGAGUGGGUAAGGACCCUAUAAGGCAACACAUGCCCCACCAAGCAAAUCCUAUCCCACCCAGGGACCUGCCCAGGACAUGUUUAAUGUCCUAUUCUUGUUAAAGUGAAUGGAACCUACAUACA